AUUGAACGCUGGCGGCAGGCCUAACACAUGCAAGUCGAGCGGAUGAAGGGAGCUUGCUCCUGGAUUCAGCGGCGGACGGGUGAGUAAUGCCUAGGAAUCUGCCUGGUAGUGGGAGAUAACGUCCGGAAACGGGCGCUAAUACCGCAUACGUCCUGAGGGAGAAAGUGGGGGAUCUUCGGACCUCACGCUAUCAGAUGAGCCUAGGUCGGAUUAGCUAGUUGGUGGGGUAAAGGCCUACCAAGGCGACGAUCCGUAACUGGUCUGAGAGGAUGAUCAGUCACACUGGAACUGAGACACGGUCCAGACUCCUACGGGAGGCAGCAGUGGGGAAUAUUGGACAAUGGGCGAAAGCCUGAUCCAGCCAUGCCGCGUGUGUGAAGAAGGUCUUCGGAUUGUAAAGCACUGUAAGUUGGGAGGAAGGGCAGUAAGUGAAUACCUUGCUGUUUUGACGGUACCAACAGAAUAAGCACCGGCUAACUUCGUG
rnacentral:rRNA from 1 species